GGCAUAUGGAAAUUUCCAGGCUAGGGUCAAAUCAGAGCUACAGCUGCCAGCCUACGCCACAAUCACAGUCACAGCAAUGCCAGAUCCGAGCUGCGUCUGCGUCUGACCUACAUGACAGCUCGUGGCAACUCCGGAUUCUUAACCCACUGAGUGAGGCCAGGGGUCAAACCUGAGUCCUCAUGGAUACUAGUUGGAUUCAUUACCACUGAGCCACAAUUGGAAUUCCUUGAUCCUCAUUCUUAAAGCAAUAAAUUUCCCUUCAAAAAACCCUAUGAUAUAUUUAUACUUUAAAAUAAUAAAUGUCAUGCCAUCAGUAAUCCUAAAAUGCUGCUGAACCUAGUCUAUGACUGAAAAGGUCUCUUUAGCUCAUUUUCUUUUUUUCCUUUUUUAUUUAUUUAUUUAUUUUUUUUGGUCUUCUGAGGGCCGCACCUGUGACAUAUGGAGGUUCCCAGGCUAGGGGUCCAAUCGGAGCUGUUGCCUCCGACCUAGGCCAAAGCCACAGCAACGCCAGAUCUGAGCUGCGUCUGUGACCUACACCACAGCUCACAGCAAUGCCAGAUCCUUAAUCCAUUAAUGUGACCUCCUCACUCCCACGUUUUUGCCUGCUUUUACAAAGAAAUAAAUGAAAAUAGGCAACUAUAAUAGCAUUUUGCCUCCUAGAGCCCAAUGUUCCUGGAGAAACUGCUGCACUAUAUCAAUAGAUUCUCAUUUAAAAAAAAAAAAGAGAGAGAGAGAGAGAGAAGUCAAAUGUAGCACAAAAUGGGGUUGGAGAUAGCUCUAGGAAUACAGAUCUUUAAGGGCAUCUGAAAAUAGGUGCCUAAUAAGUACAUGAAAAUAAAGACCUGUCCAUGCAAAAGGCCUAAGGCACCCUUCAUUUUAUACUCAUUUUUAACCAUCCUGUCACACUGAUUUGGCCCUGAUCGGGAGGUGAGUCCUGUCUAGUGGGGGCUCUGUAUCAUUUGUGAGAUCUAGGUAGAAGAAGUGUUGAAGGAAAACACUUGGAAUUUAUGAAAGUUGACAAGAUCUUUGCCAGAGAUCUAUGACUUCUUCGGCUUGGGUAUAUCUACGUAGGAAUGGGAAAUGGGAAGAAGUAAGGCCUCCUACUUCCUGGCAUAUUAAACCUAGAAAAGGAACAGUUUCUUGAUCUAGGUAAUGUUACCCUUCUGUAUGUUUCUUUCUAAAUCCAUUUUAUUUGAAAUGCAAUGCCUGUCUUUUAUUGUGGCCUGUGAUAAAGGGCAUGCAUGUGAGGUUAGAUAUUUCUAUUUUUCUGAUCAGAAUAUUCUAUGAAAUAUGUAUUUUUUAAUCAUGCAUCCAAUUCAAAUAUGGUCAUGGAAUUAGAUUGGUUGACCACUUCAUAUAAUAUUGGUUACUAUGUGGAGCCAGGGACCAGGUUAGAAGCUGAGUGAGGAAGACAAAUGCAUUAUGCACUAGAAUCUCUUUCUUUCAUUCUCUUUCUCAUCCUCUCUCCUUCAUCUCCUAUUUCUGGUCUUAUUGAAUAUCUUCCACAUCUUCCUCUUCCUCCUCCUCCUCAUCAUAAUCUAGAUGUUCAAGCCACAAUGGAGGAAACUGUCUUGAUCAAUGCUUUUUUCUCCUCUUCAUUCCACUAAAAUAUAUUCCUUGGUCCACAUCCUCUUGGGUUUCUGCCUGGAAUAUUGCAAUCGCAAAGACACAGGUCUAAUAAUAAAUUGGUAAUGAAUCGACUCACUAUUUAAUAUCUUGGACACCAAUGAAAUGUUUGCAUCCAGUAUUAUGACUGAUGUGCACAAUAACCCUAAUAAAGGAUAUUAUCCCCUCUCUUGUAGCGAUAAGAAAACUAAGGCUCAAAAAGGUUGCAUGAGUUGUUCAAAGCCUUCAAGUCAUAGGUAGAUUACUUGGAUUUUAUUCAAAGGCAUUUGACCUCAAGGUCCGUUCUCUCCCCUCUGCCACACUGCUUUGCAUCCAGCCCAGUACCCGCUGCCUGUGCUUCUCACUCCUGGAGUUUCCCAGUAGAGGCUCCUUCACACACAACAUUAGCUCAUCCCUCUGAGGUGAUAUUUUAUAUCUAAGGUUAGGCACCACAGUUAGAAGCAGCCAUAAAAAAAACUUCAAGGUGAAGCACUUAAUCUUAAAAGAACAGACUGUUAGAUUGUAGUCUGGUGCAGUUGGGAAAAACCCUUUAACAAAAGCCCCUUCUGUAAAUUUCUUGUAAAUUUCACUUUGGGUAAGAAACUGUCAUCUUCUUUCUUUGUCUGAAAUCUCUUUGGGACUAGAGCAGGAUUAUUUUAUGUUACCUUUUUAGUCAAGGCCAGCAAAGCAUAUCUACCUUGAAUUUAGUGCUCUGAAAACAGUUAUAGGGCUGUAUCUGAGGUAUAAUUUCAAGUGACCCAGUGAUAUCACCCAAUUAUAUAAUAAAUGUAAAAGCACUCUGAAAGUGAUAAAUAGCCCCAUAAAUGAAAGGGGUUAUUAUGAUGGUAGGUAAACAUAGUCUUUCAUGCAGUAUUUGAUGAACAUUCUUUUUAAAAGAAGCAAAACAACCUAACUAAUGCCAUUUGAUUAUUCUAUUAAAUAGUGAGUAGCAUAAUUAUUCUUCGUUUUAAAUUUUCACAGUGAAAAAUGCAACAAUUUGGCUUAAAAUCUCCAACUGUGUGGGUGUGUAUAAUGUCAUUCUUAAUGUGGUAUGUGUUCAGUGCACUAGAACCUGUGGUUUUCUAGGAAUUGAAAUGGCUCUUCUGGUCAGUUCCAAUGAGAAAAGAUAAUACCUGAGAUCAAAGUGCUGAUAAACUAUUUUUCCAACUUCUUUGCACAUAUCUUUGAAAUUAGCAAUGGAAUAAUCAGAAAAGGUGGAUACUUUAAUGUGUAUAUUGUCCAUUUUUAAAUGAAAAUUGCAAAAUUAAGUGAGGUUUCAACCAUUAAAAAGCCUUAAGGAAUAAACAAAAAAAGAAAAAAAAAA
rnacentral:lncRNA from 1 species